AUGGCUGAGCUCUUAGCAAUGUGCCAAGCCAGUGGAUAUGCCUUCAGGAGCUUGACCCCAAGCAAGGUACAGGAUACUGUGGCCACCUGCUGAGGCUUAUUGAGCUGGCUUUCUGGGUCCCUGGAGUGGGCACAUGGCAUGAGAGUCCACAUGUGAAGAAGAGAAACCAGAGACCUGAGUGACUCCAUCUGAGCUGGAGAGAGCACAGAUGAAGGUGAGUUUGGAGGCCAGCAAGAGGGAGUAAAGGUGAGACAAACUGCCAUGGGCCCAGGUAGGCAAGGAGAGUAACCAGAAGUGAAGAGCAGGGCUCUGAGGAU
rnacentral:lncRNA from 12 species